CUCAGUGAUACCUUAAACCCCCGGUGUUUGACAGGUGCUACAUGUUUAUCUAGGCGGGGAGAAUGGGUGCGUUUACAGCGGUGCGUCUUGGGACGGCCGCGUCAUGUUGAGUUCUAGCUGUUCUACUGCACCAAACCAGGAGAGGAGAGCUUUCUAACGUUGCGUUUCUGCUGAUGCGGCAAACUGCAGUGCAGAGCAGAGCGGAGCCGGGAAGGGAAAUGGUUGUGUGCUUCUGCUCUCUCUCUCUCACUGCCCCACUAACGUGUUCAGCUCAAACCUUCUCACUCACACCAUCUUAAUUUCACGACCACGCCGCUGGAGAGCGCAGCCACGCGUGACGGUCAAAAGACCAAGUGGGACUACUAGUCGGUGUUGCCGUCCGUUGGAGAGGAGCUCAAAUUAACGGCUUUUAAAAUUUUUCUUUCUUUCGUAUUAUAUUAUAUUCUCUCUAUUCCUCGUUCGUACCGUUUCUUCAGCAUGGUUUUAAAUUGCCUGUCAAGAGAUUUACGCUUCUUCCAAGGCGGUUCAGAGCCGUUCGGUACCUCAAGAAGGUCGCCCUAGUCGACAUUGGAAGCAAAUAACACCGGAAUAACGUGGGUGAUAUUAACGGUCGCACCAGUCGACGUUUAGAAGCCAAUAACACCGGAAUAACGUGGGUGAUAUUAACGGUCGCUCCAGUCGACGUUAGAAGCCAAUAACACGGGAAUAGCGUGGAUGAUAUAAACGGAGACAGUACAGUCUAUGAAUAUUUCACCGAAGCUCGUACUGUACAGUGCAGUAAAGUGAUAUCCGCCACCUUUAAAACAAAACGCCGGGACUGUAAAGUUGUAGCCGUGGCUGGCGGGUGCACCACCACCAAACGGAAAUCCAGGUGGAAGACGAAGGAGAAGAAGAAGAAGGAGGAGCAGCAAUGGAGGACUACUCGGAGAGAGGAGCAAGGGAGCCUUAAGAGGAGCGGCGCUUGGCGAGCCCUCUACCUGCCUGGCCCGGGUGAAUGCAAGGGGGGUUUCUAUCAGACAGAAGAGAGAGAGGGGAGAAAUCUGAGGCGCGCAGUGACAGCUACUGGAUGCCUGCCCCCACCGGGCUGAGCCGAGCAUCUCCUGCCGCAUAGCGCUGCGCCGAG
rnacentral:lncRNA from 1 species